GUCCCUUAGGGACAUCCAAUAAAAUUGGAACAAUAUAGAGAAGAUUAGCAUGACCCCUGCGCAAAGAUGACCUAUCUUAUGACAUGUAUAAAUUGAGA